rnacentral:rRNA from 1 species
AACGAACGCUGGCGGCAUGCCUAACACAUGCAAGUCGAACGAGACCUUCGGGUCUAGUGGCGCACGGGUGCGUCACGCGUCGGAACCUGCCCUUAGGUUCGGAAUAACUCCCCGAAAGGGGUGCUAAUACCGGAUAAUUUCUUCUGACCAAAGAUUUAUCGCCUUUGGAUGGGCCCGCGUUGGAUUAGCUAGUCGGUAGGGUAAAAGCCUACCAAGGCGACGAUCCAUAGCUGGUCUGAGAGGAUGGUCAGCGACACUGGGACUGAGACACGGCCCAGACUCCUACGGGAGGCAGCAGUGGGGAAUAUUGGACAAUCGGCGAAAGCCUGAUCCAGCAAUGCCGCGUGAGUGAUGAAGUCCUUAGGGUUGUAAAGCUCUUUUACCCGGGAUGAUAAUGACAGUACCGGGAGAAUAAGCUCCGGCUAACUCCGUG